GAGCUCCUGUCCCACGCGCGCUCGCAGGUGCUGGCCCGGCUGUGCCCGCUUCCCCCUCACCAUCGCCCCAAUCCGGAAUCCGGGGCUGAGCGAGGAGCCGCCACCCCCGGCCCCACCCGCGAGAGACGGGGUCCACGCGCCUUCCCUGCGCCCAAACCGCCCCGAGGCCCCCAGUCCCAGGAGGGAGCGCUGAGAUCACUCGGAUCUCCGCACCCCGGACUUAGCUGCUCGUCCCCUCCGGAGCCCGCUACCCGCCGGCCUCGCCCCUUUAUCUUUCCCCCACUCCGCCCGGCCGGCUCCGUUAUCCACCUCCCAAUCCCGUUAUCCGGCCGCCCCGGCCCCGUUAUCCGCCCUCGCGUUGGGCGCGGAGCCCCCGCGCGCCUCCUGGCCGCCGCCGCCCCCUCCCCCGCUCCCAGACGGAGCUCGGGG
rnacentral:lncRNA from 10 species